rnacentral:rRNA from 1 species
AACGUAGGAGACAAACGUUAUCCGGAGUUACUGGGCGUAAAGGGCGUGUAGGUGGUUUUAUAAGUCUGGCGUGAAAUUUCUCGGCUUAACCGGAGGCAGGUCGUCGGAUACUAUGAGACUAGAGGACGGUAGAGGCGUGUGGAAUUCCGGGUGUAGUGGUGAAAUGCGUAGAGAUCCGGAGGAACACCAGUGGCGAAGGCGACACGCUGGGCCGUACCUGACACUGAUGCGCGACAGCAUGGGGAGCAACAGG